UUUCUGAAGAGUCCACACUGCAGACUGAAGACUCUGAGAGUGCAUGACAGAACAAUGGUGGCUCCACAUGAAAGACAUGAAGAAGAUCGGUCCACAUCAAUCACAGACUGGAUGUGUCUGAAGACAACAGAGA